rnacentral:rRNA from 1 species
UGGGGAAUAUUGGACAAUGGGCGAAAGCCUGAUCCAGCCAUGCCGCGUGUGUGAAGAAGGUCUUCGGAUUUUAAAGCACUUUAAGUUGGGAGGAAGGGCAGUAAGCGAAUACCUUGCUGUUUUGACGUUACCGACAGAAUAAGCACCGGCUAACUCUGUGCCAGCAGCCGCGGUAAUACAGAGGGUGCAAGCGUUAAUCGGAAUUACUGGGCGUAAAGCGCGCGUAGGUGGUUCGUUAAGUUGAAUGUGAAAGCCCCGGGCUCAACCUGGGAACUGCAUCCAAAACUGGCGAGCUAGAGUAGGGCAGAGGGUGGUGGAAUUUCCUGUGUAGCGGUGAAAUGCGUAGAUAUAGGAAGGAACACCAGUGGCGAAGGCGACCACCUGGGCUCAUACUGACACUGAGGUGCGAAAGCGUGGGGAGCAAACAGG